rnacentral:rRNA from 1 species
AUUGAACGCUGGCGGCAUGCUUUACACAUGCAAGUCGAACGGUAACAGGCCGCAAGGUGCUGACGAGUGGCGAACGGGUGAGUGAUGCAUCGGAACGUGCCCAGUCGUGGGGGAUAACGCAGCGAAAGCUGCGCUAAUACCGCAUACGAUCUCUGGAUGAAAGCGGGGGACCGAAAGGCCUCGCGCGAUUGGAGCGGCCGAUGUCAGAUUAGGUAGUUGGUGGGGUAAAGGCCCACCAAGCCAACGAUCUGUAGCUGGUCUGAGAGGACGACCAGCCACACUGGGACUGAGACACGGCCCAGACUCCUACGGGAGGCAGCAGUGGGGAAUUUUGGACAAUGGGCGCAAGCCUGAUCCAGCAAUGCCGCGUGCAGGAAGAAGGCCUUCGGGUUGUAAACUGCUUUUGUACGGAACGAUAAGGUUUGGGUUAAUACCCUGGGCCGAUGACGGUACCGUAAGAAUAAGCACCGGCUAACUACGUGCCAGCCGCCGCGGUAACAC